CAGGUACUUGGACCCAGCCUGCAGCUGCAGCAAGGUAGCAGUUACACCCAGGUGUAAAACAGAAGAGAAGAGCUGCUUGUGUAAUUUCACAGGCAAGGUCUAUAGAGAAAGAAGUGCAACUGCUUCUUCAGCCUUCAGAGGAAACCUAGAGUCCAGUUACAGAGUUAUGAAGAUAUAUAUAGCAACAGUAUCCAUGGAGCUUAGACUUCUUCAUCCAAAGGAGGAAGAAAUAUGAUGCAAUGCUAAACAUUAAAGUUAAAUGGCGAAGGACAUUUUACAGAAUUAGAGACCAGCUUCUGGUUUCAUUUCUUCUGAUUGAAGGUACAUCUACAAUCAUGUUUCUGUCAUAGCUGAAGUGAGUUUAUCAAUUGCCCCAAUUUACUGUGCUUUGCCUCACAUGGAAGUUGGGUCUUUGAACAAUAACAGCAAAAAGGAUUCUUUUACAUCAGAUACAUCAGAAGACUCCAGUGGAACAACAAAUGCCCUCCAGCUGCAGGUGAAUUUACAGUCCAGGGACCAGACUAGAGAUGUUUUGAGCUAAUGAAACUCACAAAUGCCUGUGUACACUUUCAGAUAGAAACUUUGGAUUUGGUACCAGAUACUGUACUUUUUGAAAUCCCCGCUACUGUCAAGUCAUUCUGUAGUCAUGACUGGAACCAAGAGGAAUUGUGUUGCCCCAAGGUGCACAUGUCACUUGGAUUUCCAGUGUCUGCAAUUGGUCACACUGUAGUCUGAGGGCUUUCCCUGAUUACACUGGUUUUGAAGGGCAGCAACAGCAAGGAAAUGCACUUCUGAGGAAGGCAAAUGCAGCAUUAAACCUGUGUGUUUGUAUGUGUCUGUCUGUGUUUAUAUGUGCGUGUGUGAGAGCAGCCUGGUCUAGUGGAAGGUGUUCCUGCCUGUGGCAGGGGGGUUGGAACGAGAUGGUCCUCCAAGGUCCCUUCCAACGCAACCAUCCCGUGAUUCUGUGCUGUAUCUGUGUGCGUGUGCCUGCUGGGAUCACCUGCUGCACCUGGGGAGCCGCGGCAGCCUGGCCCCUGUCAGUUGCUGCCCGCUCCUUGUGCACAAACACAGCCUGGAGAUUUUUUCCUUCAUUUCCUACUGCACCAGCCUUUCCUCUGGAGGGAGGAUGAUUUCCUCCUCCAAGGCUGAUGCAGUUGGUAUGGAGUGGGUAGGCUGUCAAAGGGGCAGCAUCCUUCCCCUCAGGAGCAAAUGUGUCAUCCCUGAGAUUUUCAAUCUGGCAGGGAAGCAGUAGUCCCGAGGUUGCUCCAGAGCUCAGCUCCCCUUUCCUGAAUGACUUCAAAAAAUGAGCUUCCCAACCAGAGAUCGUGUUUUCCCACUAGGCUAAGCUUAGUGUUGCAUUUAAAAAUGAUUUUAUGGCAUUUAGCUUAGUGAUGGAUAUCAU